rnacentral:ncRNA from 2 species
UGUUGUCUUCAGGGCAGGGUGAAAGUCCCGACCGGCGGUGAAAGUCCGCGACCCACGCGAGUGGCUGAAUUCUUUAAGAUACCGAUAGUUAUAGUCUAGAUGGAAGAAGACAGAC